rnacentral:rRNA from 2 species
GACGAGGGGUCCUAGCGUUGUUCGGAAUCACUGGGCGUAAAGCGCAUGUAGGCGGCUUUUCAAGUCAGGUGUGAAAGCCCACGGCUUAACCGUGGAAGUGCAUUUGAAACUGUAAAGCUUGAGUAUGGGAGAGGAUGGUAGAAUUCCUGGUGUAGUGGUGAAAUACGUAGAUAUCAGGAGGAAUACCGGUGGCGAAGGCGGCCAUCUGGCCUAAUACUGACGCUGAGAUGCGAAAGUGCGGGGAUCAAACAGG